rnacentral:rRNA from 1 species
AUUGAACGCUGGCGGCAGGCCCAACACAUGCAAGUCGAACGAGUGGCGGACGGGUGAGUAAUGGCUGGGAAACUGCCCGAUGGAGGGGGAUAACUACUGGAAACAGUAGCUAAUACCGCAUACCAGCGGAUGUGCCCAGAUGGGAUUAGCUAGUAGGGGGGGUAACGGCUCAACUAGGCGACGAUCCCUAGCUGGUCUGAGAGGAUGACCAGCCACACUCGAACUGCGACACAGUCCAGACUCCUACGGGUGGCAGACGUGGGGAAUCUUGCUCAAUGGGCGCAAGCCUGAUGCAGCCAUGCCGCGUGUAUGAAGAAGGCCUUCGGGUUGUAAAGUACUUUCCGCGAUGAGGCGUUACUCGCAGAAGAAGCCCCGGCUAACUCCGUGCCCGCAGCCGCGGUAAUAC